rnacentral:lncRNA from 1 species
GUCCCAUCAUACUAGCGCCCGCACCAUGGCUCCCCAAAAGGUUCUCUUCGCCCUCGUGAUGGCCUUCCUCUUGGCGUUCGCACACGGAGCCCCUGAGGCCGAACCGGGAUACCGAAGCUACGGCCAUGGCCACGGCGGAGGAUACGGACACAGGAGUUACGGAUACGGACACGGCGGCGGAUACGGUCAUAGGAGCUACGGUUAUGGACACAGGAGCUAUGGAUAUGGACAUGGUUAUCACUAGCAGGCGACUGCCACGUGUUCCACCGAUCCUCGACAGCAACAUUGGAUCUAAGAAGACUUUAAAAAAGAAAAUAAUAAAUCUUCACAGUGAUU